rnacentral:rRNA from 1 species
UACGUAGGGGGCAAGCGUUGUCCGGAAUCAUUGGGCGUAAAGCGCGCGUAGGCGGCCCGAUAAGUCUGCUGUAAAAGUCAACGGCUCAACUGUUGAACGCCGGUGGAUACGUGUCGGGCUAGAGUCCGGAAGAGGCAAGUGGAAUUCCUGGUGUAGCGGUGGAAUGCGCAGAUAUCAGGAGGAACACCAAUAGCGAAGGCAGCUGCUGGGACGGUACUGACGCUAAGGCGCGAAAGCGUGG